rnacentral:rRNA from 1 species
UACCAGCACCCCGAGUGGUCGGGACGAUUAUUGGGCCUAAAGCAUCCGUAGCCGGUUCUACAAGUCUUCCGUUAAAUCCACCUGCUUAACAGAUGGGCUGCGGAGGAUACUAUAGAGCUAGGAGGCGGGAGAAGCAAGCGGUACUUAGUGGGUAGGGGUAAAAUCCGUUGAUCCAUUGAAGACCACCAGUGGCGAAGGCGGCUUGCCAGAAUGCGCUCGACGGUGAGGGAUGAAAGCUGGGGGAGCAAACCGG